rnacentral:tmRNA from 1 species
GGGGGUGUAAAGGUUUCGACGGGGAUUGUAAACCUUGGUAAGCGAGUAGCGGUGCGGAACCGCUUUAAAAUCCGCAGCUUAAAAAUAACUGACAAAAAUACAGUUGAAUUAGCUGCUGCCUAAGCGCAGCGCUCGUCCUUUUUCCGAGGACCACGGCGGAAUAAGGGCGUCGAUUAGUGGUAAAUGUGAACGGAAAACCGCCUCAUUUUUCGUCACACAUCAGAGGCUACCGAAGUUAUAAGCCUGUUAUUGGGCGUGUAACCGAGGGAAUUUCAGUACAAUAACUGCACUCGGAGAAAACCUUGGCAAGCAAUUUUCGGACAGGAGUUCGAUUCUCCUCACCUCCACCA